CCUACGGGAGGCAGCAGUGAGGAAUAUUGGUCAAUGGACGAGAGUCUGAACCAGCCAAGUAGCGUGAAGGAUGACUGCCCUAUGGGUUGUAAACUUCUUUUAUAUGGGAAUAAAAUGUUCCACGUGUGGGCUUUUGUAUGUACCAUAUGAAUAAGCAUCGGCUAACUCCGUGCCAGCAGCCGCGGUAAUACGGAGGAUGCGAGCGUUAUCCGGAUUUAUUGGGUUUAAAGGGGGCGUAGGUGGAUUGUUAAGUCAGUUGUGAAAGUUUGCGGCUCAACCGUAAAAUUGCAGUUGAAACUGGCAGUCUUGAGUACAGUAGAGGUGGGCGGAAUUCGUGGUGUAGCGGUGAAAUGCUUAGAUAUCACGAAGAACUCCGAUUGCGAAGGCAGCUCACUGGACUGCAACUGACACUGAGGCUCGAAAGUGUGGGUAUCAAACAGGAUUAGAUACCCUGGUAGUC
rnacentral:rRNA from 1 species